rnacentral:tRNA from 1 species
GGUGGCUCAGUGGUAGAGCACUUGCCUUGCAAGCAUGAAGCCCUAGGUUCAAUUCCUCAGCACCA